GGAUGGGUGGCAGAGUGGUUGAAUGCAACGGUCUUGAAAACCGUCAUAGCGGCAACGCUAUCGGGGGUUCGAAUCCCCCCCCAUCCGCCA
rnacentral:tRNA from 1 species